AAAAUGCAAAUGAAUAUUCAGCACAAGCAUUUCUUUGCAGCACAGAAUAAAAACAAGGGGGAAGUUAAAUAUUUACCAUUUCAACUGUAUUUUUCUUUGCUAUAGAAGGUGGUAUGUAAUAAAUAUUUAUUCUAGAGUUCCUCUUUACCCACAGAAACUUCACCAAAAAUAGAAAGCAAAGACAGACACUGUUGCUUCAGUGAGUCUUGAAUGAAGCUCACGCCACUCAGCUUCCAGGAACACAAGGAGGAUGCUGCUAGGUUCUAACAGCUUCCACAGAUGUCAGGAUUUUUCCCUCAGCCUCAACUCAAGCAGACCACAGCUCCCCCCUUGUAAAAAACAAGCCAGACAAACUCCAGGAAAAAAAAUACCAUGGGCACUUUUUUAACAGAGAAAAAUUUAAUUUAGCAGUACGUCACCAAGUACUCGCAAACUUCUAUAAACUUAUUCUGCUUUUCCCCGUUUUUCAGAAAUAAACACCUCCCUGAGCUGUAUUUAGUUCAGUCUGACUCAGAAGAAAAUACAUACCCUAAUGAGACAAAAUUUUUCUUCUGUUCACUGCUUUUCUUACAAUAUAUUACAUCCAAGUAUUAAUGAGCUUUUACCCAGGCUGUCCUAUAAGCUUCUGUACCGUUGUACCGACACAUAAAACUCUAACAGGUAAGGCUUUAGCUUGAUGGAUGGUGGUGAUUUCACAUACAUGCCAGGAAGUGCAUUUCAGAAACUCUGUGCUACUUUGUUAGUUCUAGAGUUGUGGGUCUUGUGUCCCUGCAGCCACACCACUACAGCUAAAUAUCAUUAACAGAGUCAUCGUGUCAUUGGUUUCAGUGAACUCAGGAGCCCAUUAAAAGUCCUCAUCCACACUUGCCCCCUGUACCAAUGUGUAGGAAACGUUUUAUGACAGUGGGUGCACAAAUUCAGUUCAGGUUUGCAGCAGUCUCCCAAGAUCCCACAAAGUGUUGUCCUCCACAGAGCAGAGGAGACAAGCCACCCUGUUACGGAUUGUGGUGUACAGACACUGUCUAUCCACUUCUAUGGAAGCUAAGGAAGGGGAAAAAACCCCAACAAAACCCAAAAACUCUGACCAGCCACCUCAACAGCUCCUGAGAUAACCCAGCCUAGGUGAGAAGCAGCACAGCAAAGGUUUACGACGAAGAGGGAAGCCACACUUCUUCAGAGGUCAGCCUUGGCUCCACAGGCCCCAAUGCUCUGAACUGAGUAAAGGAUGAGAAAAUGUAAAGGAUAAGAGUGCAGUGGCAAAGAUUAUGCUGAGACCAGGACUCAGAAUGUGAUGGAAAGAAUUCACAACCACACCUAAACUUUUCAGAGCACCACACGCAUAAACUGGCAUUUUUUCUGACAGAAAAUGGAAGGCAUACAAGCUUUGUGCCAGGAUUUGUAAGUGUUCACACUUUAAACUGCAAUUCCAUUCUGAGAAUGAGAAUGCUUUCAGCGAACAGACUGCUUUCUGCCUGUACAGUGCAGGGUUGUGAUUUUAGAUACUUUUAUAUAUAUAUAUACACACACAUAUGUAUGGGUAUUUAUGGAUUUUGUUGUCCCACUGGAGAUACACUCAUGUGGAACCUUGUGAGCAUUCAUUUUACUCAGCAUGGAAAUGCUGGUGUCCAACAGUGUAUUUCUGUCUUUGGCAGGAAGAAUGCAUGCGACCGGAGCAAUGGGACACAGGAAGGUUACGGGAUCUCCAGUGAAAACAACUCCCAGCCCCUCUCCACCAUAUUUUGAGGUUUUUCACUGGUAUUAUGAUGUCUGUACCUGAGCAGGGGAAAGGUUUUUUUCAGAGCACAAAAGUAGUACAGCUGUGAAGAUAUUGCUCAUUCCCUUCUGACAUUCAACUCCUACGACUAAAAAAGUUCAGGUUCCUUCACCAGGUAACAAAAGUUUUAGACACGUCAGCGGCACUCAGCAAACUGAUCAUGAUAUUAACACAGUACAGAGAAGAUCAGAUGGAAACCAUACUGCUGUUUCAUAUGCAGCUGUUCCUUGCUCUACAAACUGAAGAAGGUGGAACUAAAGCCUCUCCGGUUUCACAAUUUAUGCUAUUUUCAUUUUUAACAUGCAAAAACCAAUUAAUUUGUAGUGAACAAUCUUUCUGUUUCUCUAAAUAAAGCAUAAAGACUGUUUAUAUCUCUUUGUCCAUUUGUCAAAACGAUAUGUCAAAACGAUAGUAUGGGG